rnacentral:rRNA from 1 species
ACUCCUACGGGAGGCAGCAGUGGGGAAUAUUGGACAAUGGGCGCAAGCCUGAUCCAGCCAUGCCGCGUGAGUGAUGAAGGCCCUAGGGUUGUAAAGCUCUUUCACCGGUGAAGAUAAUGACGGUAACCGGAGAAGAAGCCCCGGCUAACUUCGUGCCAGCAGCCGCGGUAAUACGAAGGGGGCUAGCGUUGUUCGGAUUUACUGGGCGUAAAGCGCACGUAGGCGGACUUUUAAGUCAGGGGUGAAAUCCCGGGGCUCAACCCCGGAACUGCCUUUGAUACUGGAAGUCUUGAGUAUGGUAGAGGUGAGUGGAAUUCCGAGUGUAGAGGUGAAAUUCGUAGAUAUUCGGAGGAACACCAGUGGCGAAGGCGGCUCACUGGACCAUUACUGACGCUGAGGUGCGAAAGCGUGGGGAGCAAACAGGAUUAGAAACCCUGGUAGGCUCUGC